rnacentral:lncRNA from 1 species
CUCCGUGCCAGGAACUGAGGAAGACGAAAUAUAUUUCUUAUUAUAAAUCACAAUACCCAACAAACUGUUUUUGGUUACUGGUUGCUAAGGUUGCUCCAGUUUAAAUCCUCACCAGCAGUGUCUGAGAAUGUCUGCUUGCCAGAACCUUCAACCAGGAAGUCAAAAGGCAAAUGAAGACGAAGACCAUCCCAGUUAGCAAAAGAAGUGAACCGACAUUUUUAGCAACUCCCUCAGCAGGUGCCUUGGGAUUUUAGUCUGUUCCUGCUGGUUCAAAAAAAGGCAUUUGCUCCAGCUGUCCGUGCCCGGAGCCACUGGAGGGGGCACGACGGAAAGCGUGCUGGGAGCAGGAGUCAGCCCCAGCCCAGAUCCGCGGUCAGCCUGCGGUGUGGCUCUGGACAUCUGGAAGGAAAAAUGAGAGAUCUUUAGUCCAGGCUGGCGUGUGAAGGGAUCGGCUUUGUGAUAGCUGAUCCCCUUGUUACAGGCCCUGCUCUCCCAGGGACUGUCAGUCCUCACCCUCGGACGGGAGCCGCGCUGUCUGCAGGAGGCUGGAAUGAUGCACCUGGGAUGUGUGCGUGUGUGGAUGGAUCUGCCUGGAUCCUGGGUGGCAGAUGUUUGCACUAGCUGCUGGGGGUGGGAUGUGCGGUCUGCAAUCCAGGAAUUUUACAAAGCAGACAUAUCCAGUGAUGCUCGUGUAAAUGGAAGACAAGUCUUGGUCUUACUAAGCUGGGGCUCUAACCAACUCCUGUUAAAGUGAGCCUGUAGCUCCCAGAGGCUUCAUCUCUCGCCCAGCAGACAUGGAGAGAACCAAGAUGACCGUCCUGGAGGACCAUCUUCCAGGCAUGAUGUCAGGCCUGUAGGAGGAGGUGCUACCAGGGUGGCUUUUCCUCCCAUCUUGUGUCGGGAGAAGGUUCAGCACAGGGUCUCCCCCGCUGGCCUUGCAGGGGCAUUCAGAAUGCAGAAACAUCCCAGCCCUGUGUUCUCCUCAGAGACUGAAGGAGAGGAGUGUCGACUGGAAAUCCAGUGUGUUCAGACUGCCUGACACUGUUCCAUUUCAACACACCAGGUUUGGUGAGAUGGGAUGAAGUCUGGGGGUACUCCUUGGCUGAACAAGGUUCCUGAAGGAAAUGUGUUCAUUCAGAAGCAGAUAGACGCUUCCUUUGACAGGCUCUCCCUGCUCCUUCUACUUAGAGACAAUUCUACUCUAAUUUACUCAGCUUUCCCUGCAAGCAAAUGGAAGUCCUUUAUGUUCCUUGCUGCGGGAGAAAAAGAUGAUUGUGUGCGAUCUUAGCUCGAGUUUGUCUUCAUGCAUAUUACAUUCGGGUUUUUACAAUGAGUGUUUGAUUUGCUGUGGAGGAAUAUUUAUUUCCAAAUUCACCAAAUGCUUCUCAAGGCAGCCUCCACACAGAUUUUAAUUGCUAAACCCACUUAUUCUGACUCAGUGUCUGUUUGGUAAAAUGUUUAGAGAUACAAAAAGUGGGGAGACAAACGAGCUGGGCCCAGAUGCUUCUCUAUGACUAACAGAAUGUCCACCCGAAGUUGGGAGAUGAGCAGCCCACUGGCGUGUCAUGG